rnacentral:rRNA from 1 species
AGUUGGUGGAGUGAUUUGUCUGGUUAAUUCCGUUAACGAACGAGACCUCAGCCUGCUAACUAGUGGCGUUUAUCCUCUGUUCGCCGCUCGUUGCUUCCGCUUGCGGUUGCUUCGAGCUGAACUCUUGGGGAUAGGAGAGAGCUUCGGUGCUUGUUGCUUCCUUGAAGCGGCAUUGCGUCGUGCUCCACGUAACUUCUUAGAGGGACUAUCCGUGUGUAGCGGAUGGAAGUUUGAGGCAAUAACAGGU